AUGCCGACCUCUCUCUCUGCACCCUCUUUACCGUUCACUCUGCCAAGACCAAGGGUCACACCUGCCGCCCCCGGGCCUGCCCCACAGUGCCCUCCCAGCAGAGGAAGUGACUCGAGUCCUCCAAGCCAGCGGAGACUCCCAUGGCUCAAGGCCACCAACCUGUGCCACCUUGGCUGGUCUGCAUCUGUCUCUCCUCACAGGAAUUUACGCUCCCUGGAAGGCAGCAAAUGCACCCAAACUGAUGACUUCGCUGCCCGGCGUGUGUUCAGCAAAUGCACAAGUGAGUUGAUCACAUAAAAGCAACUCAGAUUAGGCAGGGGGACGGUCCAUCCCCCAACCCCGCUGCCCAGUGAGAGGAGAGGAGACUUUGGGCCCCGUGACAUCUGACUCCACGACUCUGAGAAGCUAAAGAAGCUUUGCCGCAUGUUAAUAUAGCCGGCUGGAUGCAAAUAAACUCAAACUGGACUCCAAAGUCAUUAUUUCAUCGUACUACUUAAAAAAUUUUUUAAGAUUUUAUUUAUUUAUUCAUGAGAGACACAGAGAGAGGCAAAGACACAGGCAGAGGGAGAAGCAGGCUUCCCAUGGGGAGCUCGAUGUGGGACUCGAUCCCAGGACCUGAGCCAGAGGCAGACGCUCAACCACUGAGCUACCCAGAUGCCCACUUUUUAAAAUUUUCAUACUGCGAACAUGUCUAAAUGCACAGGAUGUGCCAUAUGCCUCGAGGUAGUGAGUUUUGUGAAAGUCCACAGAAGGGAAAGCUCAACUGCAGUAGUGUUUCAUACAAAGGGUCAUUCUUCCAACUGUAAGGUAUGAAAAAUGCAAAUUUAACCUAUUCUCCUUGCUUAAAAAAAAAAAAGUCAAAUACAGAGGAAGAAUGAUGAAGUGGUGGGUGAAGAAAGGUGGGUGCCACAAGGACACAGCUAAGGAACUGCCAGUGGAGCCAGAAGGACGGACUCCCAGUGCAGGCUGAGCAGUGGGCUCGCUGUCCCAGCCGCUCCAAAUCCAGCAGCGUGCUUAUGUCAGCAACUAGUAAAAUGAAAAAAGUCAAGCAGCAGAAACACUAGCAGCUUUCGCUCGACAAACACACAGCAAAUGCAGCCUGGACAAGAAGUUUCUCCUUUUCCUACUUGACUACGUCACAUGUAAAGUGACAUGAAUCAGUUUGUGAAAGCAGCGGAAGAAUGAGCCUGCAAGGAAAAGCAUUCCUACCUACUUUAGAAAAAAACAAGUGUAUGUUUAAAAUAUUAAAAUCACUCAGGCAUAAGAAAUACCAGAUGUUGGCGAGGAUGUGGAGGAAAAGGAACCGUCGUGCUCGUGAAUUAAUACAGCACCAUGGAGAACAGUACGGAGGUCCUCAAAAAGGUAAAAAUAGAAUUAGCACAGAAUCCAGUAAUUCUAGUAGUGGGUAUUUACCCAAAGGAAACGAAAACAUCAAUUUAGCAAGAUAAGUGCACCCCGGAGUUUGCUGCAGGUCAUCUACGGUAGUGAAGGUCUAGAAGCAACGUGAGGUGCCCAGCGAUGGAUGGAUGAUGGAUGGAUGGAUGGAUAAAGACGUGCUACCGAUUGAUAAUGGAAUAUUACUCAGCCAUAAAAAGAAUGAGAUCUUGCCAUUUGCAACAACGUGGAUGGAGUGAGGGGGCAUCAUGCUAGGGAAAUGAGUCAGUCCGAGAAAGACAAAUACCAUAUGGUUUCUCAUGUGAGGAAUCUAAAAAACAGGCCAGCAAGAGCAGAAGCAGAGCCGUGAAUACAGAGAACAAAGUGGUGGCUGCAGAGGGGAGGAGUGCAGGGUCGGGCGAAGGGGAGGAGCUCCAGCUUCCAGUCGGGAUGGAUGAGUCCCGGCAGGAACAGCGCCGCAGGGGGGCCCAGUCCUGCCGUUGUCAUGGGGACACGUGGUGACAGGUGCAGCCACAGGCCUGGCCACAGCGUAACACACACAUGUGUUGUCACAUCACCAUGUUGUGUGCCCGACGUUAACAUGACAGCGUGUGUCCGGUGCACUUCAAUUGAAAACAUUUUUAAAGCAAAGAACAAAAAAGGCUGAGAUACUGGGAUGAGCUACAGAAGCUGAGAAGCAGCUCGCCGAGUGACAGAGUGUGUGCUCCCUGCAGCGUCCUGGCCAGGCAAGUCUCUGCCCAAGCUGGCCAGCGUCGGGGGCUAACAGGGGGCUAACAGUGGGGAGGGACCCGCAGGUGGCAAGGUCCCCAGCUCGGCACGGUACUGGAGGCCAGUUAGAGCUGCAAAAUCUGAUUGAAAAUAUUAGAAUAAAAAAUGAAAAAUAAACAAUUGAACUUUAAACACAAAAUUAUUUAGUCAUGACAUGAAAUAUAGUUGUUUUUUUUUUUUACUGAACAAAAAUAACAAACUGUUUUGAGCAAUUUCACCUUUCUCUUCCGGUUCAUUCACACAGGAAAGAGAAAGAUAAACUGUUUUCUGUAAGCGCCCAAGGAGAUCUGUUUACGGAGGCAGAGAACAUUCUGGAAGGCUCAGCCUCUGGGAGCGGCCGGGGCCUCACCGCCCACGCCCAGCCCGAGCAGCCAGGACCGGGCUCCCAGAGAGUGCUCUGACCCACAACUGUUCCUUGAGAUCUAACAUAUUUAAAAAUAAAUAAAAUAGAAGUUUCAAAAAAUGGAAGUCUUUAAACAAAAGCUCCCAGGUAAAAGUACAGUUUUACCCCAAUUUUAGAGCAGUCAUUCUGCCCAGUUUUCGAGGGGGAGAAGACUCCUGUGUCACGGCAAGGGUGGCGUUGGGCCGCAGGCCCCCUGUCGCUCAGGAAGGCCACUGAGCUCCCUCCCUGGGUCCUCGGGUCCCCGGGUCCCCUGGCCUCAGGCAGAGUCCCGGGAGGCUGCGUGGGGCCAGAUGCUCGGGGGCUCAGUGCCUCUGCGCCCCACGGUGGCCGUCCCUCCACUGCCCUUCCGCAGGCCUCGUGGGGGCGUUGGCUUUGCUCUUACCUCUCGGGGUUUGUUUCAGUUGGUUUUGCUUUGGGUUUUCUGGACCUUGCCCAGAGGUCACUGAUUCUUCACCCUCCCUCACGGCCC
rnacentral:lncRNA from 1 species